rnacentral:rRNA from 1 species
GACGAACGCUGGCGGCGUGCUUAACACAUGCAAGUCGAACGGAAAGGCCCUGCUUUUGUGGGUUGCUCGAGUGGCGAACGGGUGAGUAACACGUGAGUAACCUGCCCUUGACUUUGGGAUAACUUCAGGAAACUGGGGCUAAUACCGGAUAGGAGCUCCUGCUGCAUGGUGGGGGUUGGAAAGUUUCGGCGGUUGGGGAUGGACUCGCGGCUUAUCAGCUUGUUGGUGGGGUAGUGGCUUACCAAGGCUUUGACGGGUAGCCGGCCUGAGAGGGUGACCGGCCACAUUGGGACUGAGAUACGGCCCAGACGCCUACGGGAGGCAGCAGUGGGAAAUAUUGCACAAUGGGCGGAAGCCUGAUGCAGCAACGCCGCGUGCGGGAUGACGGCCUUCGGGUUGUAAACCGCUUUCGCCUGUGACGAAGCGUGAGUGACGGUAAUGGGUAAAGAAGCACCGGCUAACUACGUG